rnacentral:ncRNA from 1 species
AUAAAUGUAGUGAAAGAGACAUGAAGUUUAAUGGUAGCAUAGCAAGAGAGUCUGUGUUUGGUGUGAACAGAUUAUGUAAGUUAAACUUUACCACUCUUGAGCAGGGAAACUGAAUGAAGUAAGUUUUCUCGGUUAGCACCGUUAUAGCUUCUAAAGUGAAUCGUAAGAUUUAAUUUGGGUGGAACCACGGAACUUAACUUUCGUCCCUUAG